rnacentral:rRNA from 1 species
GCGCAGCAGGCGCGAAACCUUCGCAAUGCGGGAAACCGCGACGAGGGGACUCCCAGUGCCUACGCUCAGCGUAGGCUGUUCCCGAGCCUAGAAAGCUCGGGGAGUAAGGGCUGGGUAAGACGGGUGCCAGCCGCCGCGGUAAUACCCGCAGCCCGAGUGGUGGCCACUAUUAUUGGGCCUAAAGCGUCCGUAGCCGGCCCGGUAAAUGCCUGGGUAAAUCGUGAGGCCUAACCUCACGAAUUCCGGGUAGACUGCCGGGCUAGGGACCGGAGGAGGGAGAGGGUACUCCAGGGGUAGGGGUGAAAUCCUGUAAUCCCUGGAGGACCACCGGUGGCGAAGGCGCUCUCCUAGGACGGGUCCGACGGUGAGGGACGAAAGCCAGGGGAGCGAACCGGAUUAGAUACCCGCGUAGU